rnacentral:lncRNA from 1 species
AUAUGCUCCCAAGAAGAUCCAGCUCCUGAGAUUCCCCCUGAUUGGUGGGGAAGCCAGAGCCACAGGUAUUGUCACCUGGUGUGGGUGCUCUGAGAGUGGAAGCACAGGUCACCCCAGCAGUCCAGAGGAGGAGGUCUAACCCAGCCUGGGAGGUCUGGGAAGGCUGCCUGGAAGAAGAAGCCAGAGCCAAGUCUUGGGGACAUCCUGGAGAUUUAGAUGGGAAGACAGGGUAAGGGAGGAAGUUCUGGGUCUUAUGGGACUUAAUCUGCACACUCGAGGGACCCAGGGACUGUGGGCCUUUGGGGCUCAGAUUCUGACUAAGGAUAAGAGACUCUGGGGGGUGGGAGGAAGUCCUGGCAAAGGAUGGUGGCUCAUGCUGAGACACGCAGCUGUGGUCAGUGGAAGUUGCUCUUGAGUAAGAUGAGGAAUGGCAUCACCCAAAAGUCCCUAAAGAACCAAUUCCAAGUUCCUCAACAGAAGGGACUCUGGCCGGGCUGAGAAUUAUUCACAGGCUGGGCCGCCCAAGGUUAAGAGCUGGACCAGCCAAGGCCAGAGGCAGGACCCGCCAAGGCCAGAGGCUGGCCACUUCAGGUCAGCCUGAACUCCACAAAACAGAGACUGGGCUACGGGUCAUCACAAUCAUGGAGUUUCAUGAGGAAACCUCCUCUGUCCCUGGAGCAGCAGGACCAGGACUGAGAAGGUGGUGAUGGCCUCCGAGGUCCUGAAUCCCCCCGGUGCACCACAGAUCGGAGUCCCACAGCAGCCCUCCUCUGGCACUCCCUGCGCAUCAGAAACCACGAAGCUACAGCAAGACCUUUGCUGUACACUCACCCCCACAUGCUCCUGACUCCCCAUUUGUGUACAUGUGACCCCAGUGUGCACCCCCCCACAUAUACACAAAUGCACUUUCCCACUGCUGCUUAUGCACAUAGAUCCUCACAUUUGUGCCCGUGUCCCCAUCUCCCCAUGCACAGACCAGGAGCCUCCAGGCAGGGGCUCCUACAGGACGGUGGGGGCUGUGGGGAAGCAGCCCCAUGGGGCCCCUGGUGCCUCUCUCCUGGUGGCAGGGAGCUGGGCCAGGGGGCUUGGGCCCCAUUCCUCAUUCCUCAGGCAGCUGUCUGUGAGAAAGCCCCUCCCCUUCGGAACCAGCAGCCUGGGGUGGUAUGUGCCCAGCUCCGGGAGUGUGCACCCACUUACCCGAGGGGCCCCUUGAACUCACUCUCCUAAACUGAGCUGUGGAUCACCCACCCACCAGCUCCUCCCCAGUGCUCUCUGACUCAGAUAGAGGCACCCCAGUGUACUAGAGCCCAAGACUCAGGAACUCCCCGGCUGGAGCCUCCGUCUCCUCAGUCUCCACCCAUACCAGGUACCCCAGGCCUGGCAAGCCGGCCUCCUACUCAGCCCUCAGGCCACCUUUUCCUUCUCUGCCUCUGCCAGCCCCUGUUCAGGCCCGUGGCAUCACCUGGUUGGAUGUCCUCAGACGCUCCAUCCCUGGCCUCCCUUGGUCCAUCCUCAACCUAUCCCUCUCCCUCAGAAAGACAUUCUUAAGCCAUCAACGGCUUCUCAAGCUUGCGGCAUGGACAGAGGGCCCUCCCAGGCCCGGCCGGCCCUCCAGCCUCCGCUACACCCGCACCACGAGCCUGGGGGCCUCCGCUCUGUUCCUCCAGGGCUCAGCCGGCCACUCACCUGUAGGUCUUUGUCCUUGUUCCCCUUGCCGGGAAAGCUCUUCCUUCACCUUCCUCACCCCUCAGCAUCCUGCAGAUCUCAGCUCUCAAGGUCUCAAGCCUCUGCCUUGAGGAAGCCCUCACCGACCCAAGGUGGGCUACUCUGUCUGCGAGAAACUCUCCUAGAAUCACCUGGUAUCCCUCCUUCUUAGGAUGGAUAUUUUGAGUUUCGGUGAUGUCAUAAUUUGAGUUCUUUGAUUAAAGAUUGGCUCCUCAAGGCACCUGGGUGGCUCAGUGGUUGAGUGUCUGUCUUCGGCUCAUGGCAUGAUCCCGGGGUCCUGGGAUCGAGUCCUACAUCAGGCUCCUAGCAGGAAACCUGCUUCUCCUCUGCCUGUGUCUCUGCCUCUCUCUGUGUCUCUCAUGAAUAAAUACAUACAAUUUAAAAAAUAAAUGAAAAAUAAAAAUCGGCUCCCCCAUGAGGCUGAGCUGAAGAUAGUAUGGACCACCCCUGUGGGUCCCCAUAAUAUUCCCAAUUCCCAAGGAAGGAGGGGCUCUGUUCCUGUGUUUUAUUCCACGCUGGGCUUGGCCUGUGUAUGGAGGUGGAACAGAGAGGGGCAGACCUCGGAACUGCACCAGGAAUCAGGUGUGAGGAGUCACUGGCCAGCGGGGUGCCCAGGCUGCAGUGGGCAGAGCAGGAAUGCCUGGUCUCGAGAAGGUGGCUGGUUGGCAUAGCCACAUGGACAAAGAGGGGUCAGGAGGCAGCUUUGGCAGGGUCUGACCAGGGAGGCCCAGGGAGGAGACCUCCAACAAAAAACAUGAUUCUGAUUCUGCUUGGCAGAUGUCCUGGGGUGGUGAUACAGCCCGCCAGCCAUCCCAACAUAGUGACUGUGUGUCUCACCCUGGAAGGUCCAGGGGAUCACUUGGCUCACUGGGGAAGACCAUGCCCUCAUACUAUGGGGUAACCGAUUUGAUAGGAGGGGCUUCUAGCCCUGCUUCAGGGCUUAAGGGAGCCUACUCAGAAGGGUCAUUUAGAGCAGGCCUGGAGGGAUGCCUAGGAGUUCACUGGGGAGGACUUCCCAGGACAGGUGACAUUUGGGCUGGGUUUUGAGGGAUGCAGAAAAGUCCACCCAGAAAUCAAGACAGGAAACACAUCUUCUCUGGACACUCUCUUUACAGACUUGUAUAGGCCACAGAGCCAGUAAGACCUGGGCCCUGCUCAUCCAUGCCAGCCUUUCCCAUAUACCCUGUGCUAUUACGAACAAAGACUCUGGAAUCC